AUGCACGAAGGAAGGGAAAGGGACAUCUAUAAGAUGGCCAAGAUCGGGGAGAGGAAGACGAGGGAUGUUGGCCAAGGCAAAUGGAUCAAGGACGGAGUAGACCAACUCCUAGUGAAGGACGAGGAGAUUAAUCAUAGAUGGUGGGAGUACUUCGACAAGUUGUUCAAUGGGAAGAAUGAGAGUUCUACCAUUGAACUGGACGACGCCUUCGAUGAGACCAGCAUGCGUUUUGUGCGGCGUAUCCAGGAGUAUGAGGUCAAGGAGGCUUUAAAAAGGAUGAAAGGAGGCAAGGCGAUGGGCCCAGAUUUUAUCCCCAUUGAGGUGUGGAAAGGCCUUGGAGACAUAGCGAUAAUAUGGCUAACCAAGCUUUUCAAGCUCAUUUUUCGGGCAAAUAAGAUGCCAGAAGAAUGGAGUCGGAGUAUAUUAGUACCAAUCAUCAAGAACAAGAGGAAUGUUCAAAGUUGUACUAAUUACCGUGCAAUUAAGCUGAUGAGUCAUAGAAUGAAGCUAUGGGAGAGAGUCGUUGAGCAUCGCUUAUGGAGAAUGACAAGCGUGACCAAAAAUAAUUUUGGUUUCAUGCCUGGGAGGUUGACCAUGGAAGCCAUUUUCUUGGUACGACAACUUAUGGAGAGAUACAGGGAACAAAAGAAGGACUUGCAUAUGGUGUUCAUUGACUUCGAGAAGGCCUAUGAUAAGAUACCACGGAAUGUCAUGUGGUGGGCCUUGGAGAAACACAAAGUUCCAGCAAAGUACAUUACCCUCAUCAAGGACAUGUACAAUAAUGUUGUGACAAGUGUUCGAACAAGUGAUGUUGACACUGAUGACUUCCUGAUUAAGAUAGGACUGCAUCAGGGGUCAGCUUUGAGCCCUUAUCUUUUUGCCUUGGUGAUGGAUGAGGUCACAAGGGAUAUACAAGUAGAUAUCCCAUGGUGUAUGCUCUUUGCAGAUCAUGUGGUGCUAGUUGACGAUACUCGGACAUGGGUAAAUAGGAAGUUAGAGUUAUGGAGUCAAACCUUGGAAUCGAAAGGGUUUAGUCUUGGUAGAACUAAAACCGAGUACAUGAUGUGUGGUUUCAGUACUACUAGGUGCGAGGAGGAGGAGGUUAGCCUUGAUGGGCAGGUGGUGCCUCAGAAGGACACCUUUCGAUAUUUGGGGUCAAUGCUGCAGGAGGAUGGGGGUAUUGAUGAAGAUGUGAACCAUCGAAUCAAAGCGCAUUCUCUGUGA
rnacentral:rRNA from 1 species